rnacentral:rRNA from 1 species
GAUGAACGCUGGCGGCGUGCCUAAUACAUGCAAGUCGAGCGAAUGGAUUAAGAGCUUGCUCUUAUGAAGUUAGCGGCGGACGGGUGAGUAACACGUGGGUAACCUGCCCAUAAGACUGGGAUAACUCCGGGAAACCGGGGCUAAUACCGGAUAACAUUUUGAACCGCAUGGUUCGAAAUUGAAAGGCGGCUUCGGCUGUCACUUAUGGAUGGACCCGCGUCGCAUUAGCUAGUUGGUGAGGUAACGGCUCACCAAGGCAACGAUGCGUAGCCGACCUGAGAGGGUGAUCGGCCACACUGGGACUGAGACACGGCCCAGACUCCUACGGGAGGCAGCAGUAGGGAAGCUUCCGCAAUGGACGAAAGUCUGACGGAGCAACGCCGCGUGAGUGAUGAAGGCUUUCGGGUCGUAAAACUCUGUUGUUAGGGAAGAACAAGCGCUAGUUGAAUAAGCUGGCACCUUGACGGUACCUAACCAGAAAGCCACGGCUAACUACGUGCCAGCCGCCGCUGUAA